CCCAAAUCUCAUCUUGAAUUGCAAUAAUCCCCACGAGUCUCAGGAGGCACAUGGUAGGAGGUAAUUGAAUCAUGAGGUGUGUUUUUCCUGUGCUAUUCUCAUGACAGUGAGUAAGUCUCACAAGAUCUGAUGGUUUUAUAAAGGGGAGCUCCCUUACACAGGCUCUCUCUUGCCUGCCAUCAUGCAAGGCGUGCCUUUCCUCCUUUGUCUCCUGCCAUGACUGUGAGGCCUUUCUAACCAUGUGGAACGGUGAGUCCAUUAAACCUCUUUCCUUUAGAAAUUACCCAGUCUCAGGUAUGUCUUUAUUAGCAGUGUGAGAACAGACGAAUACACCUUCUACAGGGAGAAGACACCUUCUCCCUGUAGAGUCUUGGACAGUGCUGAGUUCUCCAGCCAUGACAUGUGACAGUGCACAUGGACUACUGUCCACAGGGAAGCUCCUCUGAGCCUUGGUGUCUGGAGUCCUCCCUCAUUGUGACCUCAUGAACAGCUGCCCACACAGCUGACCUUUAGCCCUCAGCCCUCCAGAACUGGAGCAUAUGCAGCAUGCCCCAAAGCCCCCAUCACAAAGCACAUUGCUAAGCUGUCCAGUGGCCAAAGCCCCAGCAUACUUUUUGAAGACCUCUAUGUCUCUCUGAAUUUCUAUCAAGAAAUCCAUCUAUUUAAGCAGGAAUCUUCUAAGAACGCUUUCUGUUAACCAUACGAAUGGUGCAGGUGAGGAAAAAUAAUUUUCUCCUCCAGUCUUCAUGAGUGCUUAGCUGAGACCCCUGGGAAGAAAAAAAUAGAUUAUAAAGAGAAAAAUGGACAGAAAUUUAAUUGUAUGUACAAGUGUAUGUUCUGUACACAUGAGAAAUAACCCAGAGAGUUGAGUAAAUCUCUAGAGUAGAUCUCAAAAGGGUAGUUUAAACUCCGGGCUUAAAUACCAUUCUUCUCUGAAACAAAGAAAGAAGGAUGUGAGAAAAGACCUGCUAAAGAGAAACGGGCAAAGCCUGGUGCCCUUGUGCGCACCUGCAGUCCCAGCUUACUUUUUCUUUUGUCGGCUCUCCUUUUUAUUAAGCAAUUUUAUUUUUUAAGAUAACUUCAAUUUAUCUUUAAAUAGUCA
rnacentral:lncRNA from 1 species